rnacentral:tRNA from 1 species
AGUGAUAUAGCCAAGUAGGUUUUAAGGCUGAGAACUGCAAAUUCUUGAACCUCAGUUCAAAUCUGAGUAUCACUU